UUUUAUUUCUUUUUCUUGUCUUAUUGCACUGGCCAGUACCUUCAGCACAAAAACAAGGAACAAUAGGAUAUAAUCAAGUUAAGAUGAGAUCAUACUGGAGUAGGAUGGCCCUACUCCAGUAUGGCUGGUGUCCUUAUGAAAAGAGGAGAGAUAAAAACACGCACAGAGGAAAACACCAUGUGCAGACAGAGAGAAAUUGGAGUGAUGCAUGUCUGAGCCAACGAAUGCCUAGGAUGGCUGACAACCACCAGAAUCCAGGAAGAGGCCAGGAAGGCUCCUCCCCUAAGAUUUUCAGAGAGAACAUGACCCUGCUAACAGAUAAGAAUGGUGAUGUCUGAGAAAGGGAAGUAACUCUAUGCAAGGUCACCAGCAGAAUGAAAAGGAACAGCCACCGGGGCUGCCAGCAGAGGAAUCUUGCAAGGGCAGCCACCCUCCACCUGUUCUCAGGCUUAAGCCAGAAGCAAGAUUUUUGACCUUCUAAACAAGAGAGAGAGAAAAGUAUUCCAGCUGGAAACUGACCAGCCCUAGAGAAAAGAACUAAAUCUACUUUUAUCCACAGUUCGACAGACUCAGCAACCAGAUCAUUCUACAGUGAAGUACAACAUGGGUGAGCCCAAGCCAAACAUCUCAAAACUGCCCAUCAGCUUUCUGGUUCCCCAUAUUAAACAUAAGCAGACAGCCAGAGCUUGCCAGAUAUCCACAGGAGAUCACUAACCUUGAAGGUAGAAGCUAAAGUGAACCAACAGGGGGAAAAAAGCAACCUGGAGAAACCAGUAGCAAGGCAGAGAGAAGAAAACAACCAAACACUAAAAAGAUCAUGAAUAUCCUCUGAGAGUUAAGAGAAGAUACUGCAUCUGGGGAACAAAUGCUAUUAGGAAAAAGAAAAUCCAAAACAAACCAAAAAGCCCAGCAGUUUCAAAGAACAAGACAAAUUUUUAGAAAUUAAAAGCAUGCUAGAAAAAUGGUGUUAGGGUUGCAAUUAGAAAUGUUGAAAAAGAAUGUUGAAUAAAUCUUCCAGAGAAUAAAGGGAAAGAGACAAUGAAAUAUGAAGAGAAGGGAAACAAUAAUAAAAAAUUUUUUUUUCCCAGAUUUGAAGUGAAUUUUGACUGAAGGGGCCCACUUGAUACCCAGCAUCACACAAAUCACAGUUAUUCACAUCAUGCUAAAAUUUCAAAAUAGGAGGAAGAUUCUACAAGUUUCAAAAAAGGGAAAACAAGUCACAUACAAAGGAUGAAGGAUCGAAAUUAUUUCAGACCUCUCAUCUGCCUCAAUGGAAGCUAAAAGACAAUGGAGGAAUGGCUCCAAAUUCUGAAGGAAAGUUAUUUCCAGCUUAGAAUACAUUGUCAGCCAAAAUAUCAACCAAGCAUAGAUCAAAGAUAGUUUCAGAUAUGAAAGUUCUAAACACUUUUGUUUUUGUCUUUUGUCUUUUUAGGGUGGCACCCGUGGCAUA